AGCAGCAUGGCGCAGCUGGUAUAGCGCGCAGGGCUCAUAACCCUGAGGCCCCUCGAUCGAAACGAGGUGCUACUA